CUCUGUUGCAAUUGAGGAGAACGCCUUAGUUCCGUUUCCUGUGGGUGAUGAAAUACGAACUGUUAGGCAGGCCAUGGGGAGUUGGGUACCAUGGCCGAAAGUGCUUGUCAUAAUGUCACCUGUGAAGAAACCUGAGAAGAAGAGAAAAAGAAAGUGGUACAGGAAGACGAACUCUUUGAGGAUGAGUUUAGCCUACAAUCAUUGGCAGCUUCCUUACCAAAUUCAUUGAGCAUGUUGUACAUGUGGGGUAAGGUCAGAUUCAAAGAUAGGAAGGCUAUCACCAUUCAAAUUGAGGCUGAAGUGUUUGGCCGUGCACGGAAAACAUUUAUACUACGGCAAGAUGUGCACAGAAUUGCAACCAUGAACGAAUUAACUGGGAACUGCAUAGUGAUAUACCAGAGGUACCUCUAUGAUGUCAUGAGUCAAUAUAAAAUGUUGGAUAUAGUUGCUUUUGUUGAACCUGCGUUGAUUGGG